AGUGACUGCGGAAGGAUCAUUA
rnacentral:rRNA from 1 species